GAUUGAGGGCAGUCUGGCCGUGACAUGUCCCCCCUGUGAUUGCCAGGGUUGGUUAGGCUGAACUGGAUGGGCCAGAGGGGUGAUCUUUCCUACCCUCACUGCUC
rnacentral:sRNA from 1 species